rnacentral:lncRNA from 1 species
CCGGGUUAAAGCGAUUCUCCAGCUUCAGUCUCCCAAGUAGCUGGGAUUACAGGCACGCACCACCACACUUGGCUAAUGUCUGAUGUGCUCUCACUAAGAAACAGAUGCCCUGCCCAGAAGCAACACGGCUAAUGGGUGCCACCGUGGAGACCCAGGCAACCUGAGAGUAGUCCUGACAGCCAGACCUCCAGGGUGGAAAUGGGAAGGUCUACAGAGAAAGUGGGAGACAUGAAACUAAACAGGAAUGAUACAUUGACAAUAAAGAACAUGAAGAGAUGGUUCCUGGACACUACAAGAAACCUGUGGUCCCAGCUACUCGAAGACUGAAGUGAGAGGAUCACUUGAGCCCAGAAGGUCGAUGCUACAGUGAGCCAUGAUCAUGCCACUAUACUCCAGCCUAGGUGACAGA